UACGGGGGGGGCAAGCGUUGUUCGGAGUUACUGGGCGUAAAGGGCGCGUAGGCGGUUCGCUAAGUUGAAUGUGAAAACUCUGGGCUUAACCCAGAGCCUGCAUUCAAUACUGGCGGGCUAGAGUUCUGGAGGGGAUAGCGGAAUUCCUGGUGUAGCGGUGAAAUGCGUAGAUAUCAGGAGGAACACCGGUGGCGAAGGCGGCUAUCUGGACAGAGUCUGACGCUGAGGCGCGAAAGCUAGGGGAGCAAACAGG
rnacentral:rRNA from 1 species